UUUUUAGGUGGGUUCAGAUUACCUUUAAACGCUUUUGCUAGGGAAUUACUUACUAGGUUAGGUUUAGCAAUGUGUCAAUUUAAUCCUAAUGCAUGGAGGUUAGUCAUCUCUAUGCAAAUUUUGUGGAGGGAAGUAUUUGGAGGGGACUGUCCUCUUACUGUGGAUGAGUUCCUCUUUUGCUAUAAGCCUUCAUAAAUCAGCCAAUCCCUCAUCUGACAGAAAGAAGACAGAGUUUAUCUUCGUCUCUGGUUUCUGAGCUAGGAACCCUGUGGACGUUGGCAGGGACACUUUUGUCCCUUAUGCUGGGGAGUUAGGGAACCUUCGUCCUAAAGCGGUUGGACGUCCUUCUUUAAGCAAGUUCCACUAUGACCGCGUCCAUAGGGCUCAUUUGCAUGUGGAUAGGAAUUUUCAUUCCUUCGUCACCCUUAGAUGUCUUGCCAAGUGGGGACUUGGUCCUGAACCAUCCAACGAAGCUAUUGCACACGAGUUUAUAGUUCGCAGACAUAAGUUUACACUUAGCACAAAUAUAAGUUAUACUUGUCUGGCUUUAUUUUAUUUUAAUUUUCAUUCAAUCACUUUUCAGGGAUGGCAACUAUGAAAGAAAAUAAGGGAAAGGAUAUUGUGGAAAAGGGAAGCUGUCUCGAGGCCCAAUCCUAAGCUCGUCCAUCCGCUAGGGACAAAAGAAAAGCUUUGUCCAAAAACCUUGACCUAGGAAAUCUUCCCAGUCGUCGAGGGAAAAAGACUAAGCAUGGAUUGUCCAAGGCAGGGGUCGUCUAGCCUAAUCCUCCCACGUCUCAACCGUCCGUCCAAAUUUUUGACAUGGACUCGUCUACUCCAAUUGAGUUCACUCCGUCCAAAACUCCUCUGUUGAAAACCAUUGUGCUUGCUUCGUCCCAGCCUUCUUAAUGGAUUCCCAUGAAUCUUAUUGAAAAUGAAGACUUAGCUUGGGAACGUUUUGAGAAGGCUGUGUCUGACGAGGACAUAGCUGUGUGUUAUGACAUGUCCUUGAAGGACUUUGAACAUUUUGGAGUUCAUCAUCUUUUUAAGUGAAUGUCAAAAUUUAUUACAGCAUCCAGGCAGGCCACUAAAUUGGAUAGGACGAGGAUCUUUGUUAGUGACGAGGGUUCAGGAGGUGAAAGACGAGUGCAAGAAGUGGGUUGAGGUGGCUGCUAAGGCCAAGGAAGAAGUUAAGGGCCUGCAAAACCAUAUUGAGGAAUUGAAGACUGAUGUCAUAGAGAAGGAUACUCUUCUUGAUCACCUUCGAAAGAGGAAUGACGAGUUGAGUAUCUUUCUUGAAAAAGCAAGGGAGACGUGGUUGCAAAAUUCAAGGCGUCCAAGCAAUACUCUAAUUUGCUGGAUACCAAUUAUGCAGCCGGGUUCGAAGAUUUCAAGAUGGACGAUGUGGAGAAAUUCCCUGAAAUUGACUUCAGCUCCAUCAAACUCAACCUUGGUGGUGUUGCUACAAGCUCCCUCCUCCAGAUGAGUUCAGAAGACAUCAAUAUAAACGACAAUGCCAAUACCCAGCCAUCUCAGGAUGACCCCAAUGCUGACGCCCCUCCUGCUUGAAGCGAGGCUUCAAUAUUUUGCUUAUCCUUGUAUUUUUCUUUUUCUUUUUGUUUUUAUUUGGUCUGUUGUUUUGGACCUUUUCAUGUAACUCAAGUACA